GCCAUGGCUUUGCAGAGCACUCUGGAAGCAGUGUGGCUGGGUCUCCUCCUCAGCUCUCUCUGGAAGUUUGCAGAGAGCAAGGACCAAGUAUUUCAGCCUUCCACUGUGGUCUCUUUGGAGGGAGCUGUGGCAGAAAUUUCCUGUAAUCACUCUAUAUCCAAUGUUUAUGGCUUCUUCUGGUACCUUCACUUCCCAGGAUUUGCACCAAGACUCCUUAUUAAGGGCUCACGGCCUUCUCAACAGGGACGCUACAACAUGACAUACAAGAGGUUCUCUUUAUCACUGCUCAUCCUCCAGGUGCAGACGGCAGAUGCAGGGGUUUAUUAUUGUGCUCUGAGGUACACAGAAGCAGGGAAUCCAUGA